rnacentral:rRNA from 1 species
CUAGCUGUAAACGAUGAAUACUAGGCGUUGAGAGUAUCGACCCUCUCAGUGUCGUAGCUAACGCGUUAAGUAUCCCGCCUGGGGAGUACGCGCGCAAGCGUGAAACUCAAAGGAAUUGACGGGGGCCCGCACAAGCGGUGGAGUAUGUGGUUUAAUUCGAUGCAACGCGAAGAACCUUACCAGGGCUUGACAUGUCCGGAACCCUGCCCAAAGGCGGGGGUGCCUACGGGAACCGGAACACAGGUGGUGC